GGUGAUUUCUGACAUUUGCAAAUGUGUUUAUUUAUAGUAAUGGAUCCCGAUCCCGACCGAGCGGUAGCUGAUGAUCUUGAGAGUGUAGCGCCUGCUCCCGUAAAAGGGACAGCGCCAGCGGACUCUCAACCUAAUGCUAGUAAUCCGAAUGAUGAGGCUAGACAAGCUUUCUAUAGCGUGAUGAAUGAUUGGUUCAACCAAUACAUUCGAACUAAUACGGCUGUUCCACAACCUCCAUUCCCG
rnacentral:lncRNA from 1 species